GACAGAGGCCUCGAGCGUUAGGCGGAAUCACUGGGCUUAAAGCGUGUGUAGGCGGAUGCCUAAGUACCUUGUGAAAUCCCACGGCUCACCCGUGGAACCGCUGGGUAUACUGGGCAUCUUGGGCCAUUCAGGGGCAACUGGAACAAGCGGUGGAGCGGUGAAAUGCGUAGAUAUCGCUUGGAACGCCGACGGUGAAAACAGGUUGCUGGGGAUGUGCCGACGCUGAGACACGAAAGCCAGGGGAGCAAACGGG
rnacentral:rRNA from 1 species